AAGUAACGAAUGGAUUUCCAAUGAUUUCUCAAUAAUCCAUUUCUAUAAAAGGGCACAUUCAUCAUUAGACACAUAGAAGUUGGAUAAACCCAACAACCUUCCAUCCAGAGACAACAAAAUUGAAACCCAUUUUUUAGAGUUGUUGGUGCCUCUUCCUAUAACCGACGAUAACAUUAGGAAAUCUGGAGACGACAUCGGGGGCCUCAGGAAGAUUUAUCUUUUGUUUUUAACAUCUUUCCCACCAUAAAACCGGCUCAACCAGAGAUAGGGUCCAAUAGCUGGAAGAGCAUCACACAUCUUGUGGUGUCUGGUGUGCCCUCAACGGACCUUGAAAAUCUGGAGGACCAAGUACCGUCCAUGCCUGGUCGUACUCGUAACCGCAUCAUGACUCCAAGGUGAACAACCUCU
rnacentral:ncRNA from 1 species